GUUGCCAGUCUGCUUGCUCGACGAAGGUCGAAGGAAAGCGCCUGCUGUCGGUCACACAGACGAGGAUGUUAUCACCACCGCCGUUAGCCGCAGGGCCGACAGCAACGAAAAUGAGACGCAGAUGUGACGCCUUGUAACCGACGAUGGGAGCGAGAUGCGGAGGCCCGCUGUGUGCGUACGUUGGUUUCCGCGCCCUUUAACUUCCCAUUACAUCCUCAUCUCAAUACGGCACACAAGCCAAGCUGGCCAUUGUUCAGGAGCUUUGAAGGUUCGUCAAGUGCAGGUGGUUGGCGCCCUUUAUAAUAUACGCUGAGCCGUCAUUGAGAUUUGAGUAAAUAAGAAGGAACAGAGAGUACAAUACAGCUCUGUGGGUAAGUAAGACAGUGCUGGUGGCUGUUGUUUCUAUAGGUUUGCAUGUCUGUGACAAAAGGCCUUUUCCCCGUGUUUGCACAGUGUUGGCUUUCCAAGUGCGUCCUGCUCCUGUGCUGCUUGUUUACAGUCCGUGCAUGCCUUUAAGGGAUCAAACCGUAGGAGUUGCAAAGUUUUUGUGUACGCCACAUGACUCAGACUUCACGCCCGUCAGAGAUUUGGACGUUUCCACCUGUUCCGGCUUGUUUUACGGCUCCUCCCGUCCAUUGAAAUACACUCAUAGAAGAUUUAAGGAUGGGAUACGUCUCGGCGGAGAGUGCAGAGAUGUUUUUUAAUCUUUUCUUCAUCACUGAAUAGUCAGAUCCCUCCGCUCUGAAGCACGUGCGAUUCUUUCCCAAGGUUAGGGAGCAAAGUCCAUUCGGGGGGGGGGGAGUCAAACUGUCACUGGUGCUACAAUUUAUCAGCUUCCCUUCAAGAUUUACAGCCGUGAUCUACUCCUCUGCACGAGAAUCCACAGACUGCUAUGAAAAGUGAGACGAAAACACACACACACACACACACA
ensembl:lncRNA